CUUUUUUUUUUAUCACUGUUCCGUUUCCUCUUCUAAUCAGUUGAAAAACUGAGAGUUACAGAUCAAUGUGAAGCACUAUCUGACAUUAAAGGCGUGUCUACUCUCUGUAAGAAGGUGUAUCUACACCUAUAUAAAGGUUAUCAUUCUUCACUUGAAUAUCUAUACAUGUCCGUUUCUUCUCGAUCAGACCAAGCUCUCUCUACUUUACGGUUAUAUGGAAGCGAUCUCUGCUUCACUUCAAAACCCUAAUCUUAUCCCCAAGAUCUCUCACUCUUCUGGUCCUCUUUCUGCAACCACCGUGGAGAUUCCGAAGCCUGCUUUCGUUUCUGUAGAGAAGGUGCCGGCUAAAUCUCCAACGAAAAGAUCCUCUGUGUCUGAUAAUGGAGGAGACGAGACUGAUUUGCCAACCACCACGAGUGAGAUCAUUCUUUCAAGAUGCUAAGUGAGUUACUGGAAACUGGGAUCUGAAACAAUCCGAGGCAAAACAGAUCGGGAUUCGGCGAUAGUUCAUGAGACAAAGAGGAGAAAGUGGCUUGAAGAUAACUCAGAAACAACUACUAACGGUUUUUUUCUCUUUGAUACCUCGAUUAUCCAAUGGUGGGCAUGGAUGAAGCAAUAUCAUCACAAGAAUAUCAACUCAUCAAUUAACGGUGAAAUUUGAAGUUUUUGUCUUGCAGGUCGUGCUGCAGUGAUAGGGUUCUUCAUGGCUUACACUUUUGUUCCUGUCAUGAAUCCGGAUUUUUUUUCGUAUUGAAAUCUAGAGGUCUGUUUGAAAUUUGUAGGUUGAAAAAGGGUUUAAAGAUGUUGUCCAAGAGAUUGAAUCUGAAGUUAGCUGCAAGCUGGAGGAAGGUAAACCUGGGAUGCCAUUAGAUAAGAGAUUCAUCACGAGUUUAUUGAGUUUAUACCUUCUGUGCUUUCAGUUUUCACCAGAAGGAUAGGAGACGAUACACCAGGUUGCAGCAUGUGAUUUUUGAGUUAGAAGCUUCAGAAUUGGUUGGAUCAAUUAAUAGACCACGUGCCUGGCCAGCCUUUCGAGCGUAUGGUUUGGAGUUAACUGAAGUGCUGAGUAAUCUUACAGAUUGGAAGGUGAAUAUGGUGAUAAGAGAGGCUAACUGGGGUGCUUUCUUGAUUGCUCAAAGCGUGACAAAGGAGAUGAGACUUCAGUCCUAUGUGGCCCAGGGUAACCUUCUUUGUUACAUGGUUUGCUUGCAGAGGAAGGUACGGGGAACAGCGUGUAACAGAUGAUGGUGGAGUUGAAUGUCUAUGGUGAAGCUAUGUGUUUUUGGAGAGAAGGUGGAGUUUUAAGCUCUUAGCGUUUCUAUUCGCUUUUUAGUUUUUAGUGUAAUUUCAAUUGUUGUUUGAGGUUCCUUUUGAAUCUUUAUGGUGUUUUUGACACUUUCCAUUUCCUCAAGAGUAAAAAAAAUUGGUUUGUGUUUCAUGGCCUGAUUUGUAAGAUUUAAAUAUAAAGUUUUGGUCUUUUGGGUGGUA